rnacentral:rRNA from 1 species
CCUACGGGUGGCAGCAGUGGGGAAUAUUGCACAAUGGGGGAAACCCUGAUGCAGCGACGCCGCGUGAGUGAAGAAGUAAUUCGGUAUGUAAAGCUCUAUCAGCAGGGAAGAAAAUGACGGUAACUGAGCAAGAAACCCCGGCUAACUACGUGCCCGCCGCCGGGGUAAUAGGUGGGGGGCAAGCGUUAUCCGGAUUUACCGGGCGUAAAGGGGGCGUCGGGGGCCUGUAAAGUCUGGAGGGAAAGGUCCGGGCGAAACCGGUACAGGCUCUGGAAACUGGAGGGCUAGAGAGCAGGAGAGGCAGGUGGAACGCCAGGUGUAGCGGUAAAAUGCGUAGAUAUAAGGAAGAACACCAGUGGCGAAGGCGGCCGCCUGGCCUGUGACUGACGCUGAGGCACGAAGGCGUGGGGAGCAAAUAGGAUUAGAUACCCGGGUAGUC